UCAGAAGAAGUGGGAGCUGCAUAGAAGC
rnacentral:piRNA from 2 species